rnacentral:lncRNA from 1 species
AUGGAGAUGAAGACCGUGAGCCCCACGUGGGACAACCCGAUUCCCCUGCGUCUACCCCGGCGCUUAGAACGGCGCUCGGCCCAUAGUGAGCGCUUAACAGAUACCGACAUUAUUAUUAGAAAAGGAGCGGCUCCGAGUGGCUGUCCUCCUCCUCUUCAAGUGUCCACCCUUCUCCUCUGCCGCCUUCCGGGAGAGACAGCUGGCAGGCAAGCCCGUCCCGCCCCGCCCCGUCCCAACCCACCACGCUCCGCUCCCCACCGACGUGGCUUUGCCCUCCUCUCCCUUCGGUCUGUCCCCCCGACCUUCCCCCAACCCCAGGACCCAGAGCGGCCCUCUGCCCUCGGCCUUUCAACCCGCCAACCCGGGUACCCGGUCCCUCCCCACCUCCUCGCCCCCCCCAGCUCGCCCCUCGCCCCCUCACUCCCACGCUCGGAAACCUCUCCGCGGGCUGGAACUUCCUCCUCCACCUCCCCAAUCUUCUGUCCGUCCUCCGUCGGGACUCUCCCCUCUGCCUCUCGCCCCGGCUCACCCCGGCCCCUUGGUAUUCCUGCCCUCCCAGAUCCACUCCCAUCUUCGUCGCUCCUGCCGUGGAGUUCGCCCAACUCUCCAAGUACAUUCAUUCAACAGUGUUUACCGAACGCUUACUACGUGCACCGUCCUAAGCGCUUGGAAUGGACGAUCCUCCGGGGAAAUCGAACUUCCUCCUCUACAUCCUCCAGCUCCCCCUUGGCCCUCACCCACUGCCGUCCCUUGUGCUCGACUCCCCCUCGGCCUCGAGUUGGGCCGCACCGCCUUCUCCUGAUUUUUAUUUCCUUCCGCCCUAUUCCCGCCCGGACGGGACGGACCGGACCAGGUUGGUCCGACGGACGUUCACUCGGCGGUCGGGUUGGCGAGGUCUCUCGACUCCUCGAUCGAGUUAUUAGAACCGCCGGGGCUAUUCUGGAAUGCGCCCGUGCUUCUGCCGGCCGAGCCGGUCUUCAGGCGGUGACAGUCGCGGCCUCCUUUCGGAUCGGUCAGGCCCCUCGCGGAUCAACUUGGUUGCCGUCCGAGCGCUUAGUACGGCGCUCUGCACACCGUAGGCGCUCGAUAAAUCCGACCGGAUGGCACGAACCCACCGCCACGCGCCGAACUAGCGCGGAGGGCUCCUCUCCGCUCCUCCGGGCCUCCCCGGCCCGAGUUCUGGCUCCGUCGCUUCCUCUCGGAGGCCUCACCGGUUCCGUGUUGAUUUGGAGUCCGUGUGUCCGUGGCACCUCCUUACCCCUGGGAGAAAUGGCUCGACCCCGGGGCUGGACCCAAUCCGGCCCCGGCCGUCUCUAG